rnacentral:rRNA from 1 species
CAAUGCUCCGCAGGCUGCUUUGAAAUCACGAGUUCACGGUCGUUCGCCCUGCAGAUUCCACAAUGUUCCGUAGGUUUGACCUGCGGAAGGAUCAUUG